GGCUUAAAACCUAUGAUACAACCACUGCUAAGCAAACAAAGUUUGAUGAUGAUAUACCAAUGCAAGCUUGUCAAAUAUAUGGUAUUCACAAGACUAAAAAUGUUGCAAAAGAUGCAGUAUAUGAGUGUCCUGAUGUCAAUGCUAAUGACACUACUAUUUAUGAAGAUAUGAACCAGUAAAAACUAACAGUGCAAUUUAAUAUACAUGUACAUGUACACUGUGUAAUACAACAGUAUAAAAUGUCCAUGUGCUUGUAUAUUCAUUUUGUAGCUGGAUAGUGUGACAUAGAUAUACACAACUAUAUACAUACUUCUCUAGAUAUACAUCAUACUGAGUCUAUUAUACUGUAUAAUCACAUUAGUGUUAUUGUAGCUACUUUUAGUCAAAUUUUUGCAGUUUGUUCUUUUGAUGUUAUCUAAUCAAUGAAGUUUUCAGUUACUU